UACAGAGGGGGCAAGCGUUGUUCGGAAUUACUGGGCGUAAAGGGCGCGUAGGCGGCCCGCUAAGUCGAACGUGAAAUCCCCGAGCUCAACUCGGGAACUGCGUCCGAUACUGGCGGGCUUGAAUCCGGGAGAGGGAUGCGGAAUUCCAGGUGUAGGGUGAAAUGCGUAGAUAUCUGGAGGAACACCGGUGGCGAAGGCGGCAUCCUGGACCGGUAUUGACGCUGAGGCGCGAAAGCUAGGGGAGCAAACGGG
rnacentral:rRNA from 1 species